GCGUAUCGCUCGUACACUCCGGUUCUGAGCGCGCCGCCCACGCCCACCUAACGACUGCUCGCCACGUUGUGUUGGCC
rnacentral:sRNA from 1 species